AUUGAACGCUGGCGGCAGGCUUAACACAUGCAAGUCGAACGGUAACGGGUUGAAAGCUUGCUUUCAAUGCUGACGAGUGGCGGACGGGUGAGUAAGGCUUGGGGAUCUGGCUUUUGGAGGGGGAUAACCAUUGGAAACGAUGGCUAAUACCGCAUAGUAUCGAGAGAUGAAAGGGGUGGGAAACCACUUGCCAAGGGAUGAACCCAAGUGAGAUUAGGUAGUUGGUGGGGUAAGGGCCUACCAAGCCGACGAUCUCUAGCUGGUCUGAGAGGAUGGCCAGCCACACUGGGACUGAGACACGGCCCAG
rnacentral:rRNA from 1 species